AAAAAAGAACGGGCGCGUGAACCGGGAAAGCUCAAAUUUGAAAUCUGGCUGUCUUCGAUAGUCCGAGUUGUAAUCUAUAGAAGCGUUUUCCGUGCUGAACUGUGUCUAAGUCCCUUGGAACAGGGUAUCAAAGAGGGUGAUAAUCCCGUACUUGACACAAUCAUCAGUGCUCUGUGAUACGUUCUCUACGAGUCGAGUUGUUUGGGAAUGCAGCUCAAAAUGGGUGGUAAAUUCCAUCUAAAGCUAAAUAUUGGCGAGAGACCGAUAGCGAACAAGUACCGUGAGGGAAAGAUGAAAAGCACUUUGAAAAGAGAUUUAAACAGUACGUGAAAUUGUUGAAAGGGAAACGAUUGAAGUCAGUCGUGUUCAUUGGAUUCAGCUAGUUCUUCUAGUCUACUUCCUUUGAACGGGUCAACAUCAGUUUUGUCCGGUGGAUAAAGGAUUUAAGAAUGUGACUCCCUCGGGAGUGCUAUAGCCUAGGUUCACAUACACUGGGUGAGACUGAGGACUGCAGCUCGCCUUUUGGCCGGGGUUCGCCCACGUUCGAGCUUAGGAUGUUGACAUAAUGGCUUUAAACGACCCGUCUUGACCCCCGGACCAAA
rnacentral:rRNA from 1 species